UUGGAGGGCAAGUCUGGUGCCGGCAGCCGCGGUAAUUCCAGCUCCAAUAGCGUAUAUUAAAGUUGUUGCAGUUAAAAAGCUCGUAGUUGAAUUUCGGGAUCAAAUUGUCGGUCGUGCCUCGGUACGCACUGGUAUUACUGGUUCCUACCUUCUGAAGAACCGCGAUGUCAUUAAUCUGGUGUCGUGGGGAAUCAGGACUGUUACUUUGAAAAAAUUAGAGUGUUUAAAGCAGGCUUACGCUUGAAUACAUUAGCAUGGAAUAAUGAAAUAGGACGUUUGAUUCUAUUUUGUUGGUUUCUAGGAUUGACGUAAUGAUUAAUAGGGAUAGUUGGGGGCAUUAGUAUUCAAUUGUCAGAGGUGAAAUUCUUGGAUUUAUUGAAGACUAACUACUGCGAAAGCAUUUGCCAAGGAUGUUUUCAUUAACCAAGAACGAAAGUUAGGGGAUCGAAGACGAUCAGAUACCGUCGUAGUCUUAACCAUAAACUAUGCCGACUAGGGAUCGGAUGAUGUUAAUUUUUUAAUGACUCAUUCGGCGCCUUACGGGAAACCAAAGUGUUUGGGUUC
rnacentral:rRNA from 1 species